UAAUUUCUAUGUAAUUAGUUAAAUUUCUAUUUA
rnacentral:tRNA from 7 species